rnacentral:rRNA from 1 species
UACAGAGGGCUCAAGCGUUGUUCGGAUUUAUUGGGCGUAAAGGGUGCGUAGGUGGCGGGCUAAGUCAGGUGUGAAAUCUCGGGGCUCAACCCCGAAACUGCGCUUGAUACUGCCUUGCUCGAGUACUGGAGAGGAGAUUGGAAUUUACGGUGUAGCAGUGAAAUGCGUAGAUAUCGUAAGGAAGACCAGUGGCGAAGGCGAAUCCCUGGACAGUUACUGACACUGAGGCACGAAGGCCAGGGGAGCAAACGGG